rnacentral:rRNA from 1 species
AACGAACGCUGGCGGCAUGCCUAACACAUGCAAGUCGAACGAGACCUUCGGGUCUAUUGGCGCACGGGUGCGUAACGCGUGGGAACCUGCCCUUAGGUUCGGAAUAACUCCCCGAAAGGGGUGCUAAUACCGGAUAAUGUCUUCGGACCAAAGAUUUAUCGCCUUUGGAUGGGCCCGCGUUGGAUUAGCUAGUUGGUAGGGUAAAAGCCUACCAAGGCGACGAUCCAUAGCUGGUCUGAGAGGAUGAUCAGCCACACUGGGACUGAGACACGGCCCAGACUCCUACGGGAGGCAGCAGUGGGGAAUAUUGGACAAUGGGCGAAAGCAUGAUCCAGCAAUGCCGCGUGAGUGAUGAAGGCCUUAGGGUUGUAAAGCUCUUUUACCCGGGAUGAUAAUGACAGUACCGGGAGAAUAAGCUCCGGCUAACUCCGUG